rnacentral:rRNA from 1 species
CCUCUUUUCUUCCUCCUUUUUUCCUAUUUCCCCAUUUGUUAAACCCUUAUGCAGCGACGCCGCGUGAGUGAAGAAGUAAUUCGUUAUGUAAAGCUCUAUCAGCAGGGAAGAAAAUGACGGUACCUGAGUAAGAAGCCCCGGCUAACUACGUGCCAGCAGCCGCGGUAAUACGUAGGGGGCAAGCGUUAUCCAGAUUUACUGGGUGUAAAGGGAGCGUAGACGGCAGUGCAAGUCUGGAGUGAAAGGCGGGGGCUCAACCCCCGGACUGCUCUGGAAACUGUACGGCUGGAGUGCAGGAGAGGUAAGUGGAAUUCCUAGUGUAGCGGUGAAAUGCGUAGAUAUUAGGAGGAACACCAGUGGCGAAGGCGGCUUACUGGACUGUAACUGACGUUGAGGCUCGAAAGCGUGGGGAGCAAACAGGAUUAGAUACCCGGGUAGUC